UCCCUUAAUCUCUCUCUCUUUUUUCAAUGCCAAAUUCCUCAUGAGCCAGCAACACAGAAUGUAAUGGAAGUACAAUACCAGUAUCAUAGACUGCAGUAAUGAAACUGACCCCAGUAUAUCUACUGUCUGAAAGCUGCUCUCUCCAAAAGGAGCUCAAAUGGGAUAUGAGUUGCAUCCUCCUAGGAAUUUUUGGAUUUUCUGACCUACAAAUAUGAUAAUUCUCCAUGCUGGACUUCUGCCUACCUUACGAACACCUCGAUGUGAUGCAUCUGGGAGAAAGGACUAAAUGCUUUAAGGCCUUGAUAGGCUGCAUUUACCCCCAGGAAUCUAAGGCCCAGCUUGAAGUGACUGCUGAAACACAGAAGUUGUGUUGCACCUUCCAGAGCUCCAGGGUAUGUAUAAAUGAUGAGCCAUAUGGAUGGGGCUAAUCACCAGACAGUCAUGAAGUGGUGGUUUUAAGGCCAUGUGGUUGUGUCACAUGGUCAUAGCAGUCAGGCCUAUUAUCUUAGGGUGUCCAUUGUUCCAUCAUUAAAGGACGUUAUCAAAAAGGAGGACAUGGAGGACAAGGAACACCAAAAAGGAAGUUAUUUUUCACAAAAAAUAAACAACAACAAAAAACAUUUUGUAUUAGAUUU
rnacentral:lncRNA from 1 species